rnacentral:rRNA from 1 species
GACGAACGCUGGCGGCGCGCUUAACACAUGCAAGUCGAGCGAAGCGGCGGCCGGGUGAGUAACACGUGAGUAACCUGCCUUAGACAUUGGAAUAGCCUCGGGAAACCGGGAUUAAUCCCACAUGGUCUAAGAUGACCUCGCUUCCCAUGAGCUAGUUGGUGAGGGAACGGCCCCCCAAGGCGACGAUGGGUAGCCGGCCCGAGAGGGGGAACGUACAGAUUGGAAUCGAGCAACGGGCAAAACUGUGCGGGAGGCAGAAGGGGGGAAUAUUGCACAAUGGAUGGAAGUCUGAGGCAGGGACGCUGUGUGAACGAAGAAGUCUUUCGAGUAGUAAAGUGGUUUUAUAUGGGAAGCGGUACCAUAAGAAAAAGCCCCGGCUAACUACGUGCCAGCAGCCGCGGUAAUAC